CCACUAACACGAUCCCGAGUUUAUUCCACGCCGUUUAGUACUCAAAGAGCAGCUACUCGAUGUCUCCAUCACCGCUUCACCUACCACACACCGGGCCUACCUUCGUUCUGCUGUGCUCAUUUCUUAUAUUCGUUAUGAACGCUUUUCAUGGAGAGUUUAGUAAUCUCAAACAGGUAGCUGAAUCGAAAUCAAGUAAUCUACCAUGUAGAGCUUAGUAUUCGCAAACAGAAGGCAUUCUUGUAACUGAUUGUUUCUUCAUACAUAUUCUCAGACAUCUUUGUGAAGGUCAAUAGCUCUCCGUGGUGCUCGUAUACAUUCACACAUCCUUACGACUCGCAGUUGACACUGAUCUCUCUCUGCAAUUUGUUUUAUUAGCAAGUGACAUUCAGAACACGCUACCUAUUUGGCUUGUUAAUGAGGAAUCUGAAUGCGCUAUUGAGAAGGGUCACUUAAAUUAAUGAGAAAAUCAUUAAGAGUUCUGGCUUUGGGAGAAAGAAUGCAAGUGAGCUGAGUAAAUCAGAUGAGAUUUAAAGACCCGAACUUUCUUCAGGUAUUCGGUGACAGUCCUCAGUCACCAGUGAAGUUGGAGCAGCUGGUGCUCCAUUGGCCUUUUUUCACAAAAGGUGAACAUAGUCUGUGUGGUGUUAGUUAAAUCUUUUAAGUUAAGGACAACAAUUUAGAUUCAAGUUCUAUAAUUCAGUGAGCUCUCUAAAAACCAAGGAGACCAGUUUUUCACCUUUAGAAGUCGCACAAGUCCAAAUGUGUUAAAGUUGUCAGUUGCCCAAAGGAUUCUAGUUGCGCUGCUAACUACUAAAAUCUUUUAGACAGCUGACCACAUUAACAUAUUUAGACAAUUGUCUAAAGCUGAAAAAAUUGCCUCAAAUCUUUGGAGAGCUCACAGAAUGAAAAUAAUUUCAAUCUAAAUUACUGUCCUAAACUAGAAGCUUUGCUUGAGACCUUUGGACAACUGACGUUUGCAGAGUGUUCUCAGAAAUUAGAAAGUAUGGUGCAGAGCCAGGCCGGGUGCUAAUUAACAGCAGCUUCUUUAAUAAGUGAAAGGAAUUUUCAGCACUAAGAAUUAUGGUUACCAUUUGAAACUGACACUAAGACAGAGGCUAGUUGGAUCUUAAGCUUCAAUCGCGGAUUUUAUAUCAUUAACAUUUUAAUUUCAGUUUGCUAAGCUAUGUUCCAUAGUCCAGGGCUGGCUAUUUGAAUUUUUCUUCUCAUGAUGCUGAAACAGUGUUUUGUAGCGUUUUGAGAUUGAAGUGUGGUUUCUGUAUCCUUAUUCACAAUGUAAGUUGAGACCAGUUUCAAUGCUAGGGAUGAUCAUUAUUUAAUAUUUACUAUUAUUUGAGUCUUACAGUGAUGAAAAAAAUCUUUUUGAUUUGAACAUGUAAUG